CUUGAUUCAUCAUGUUAUGUAACAUUUUUUUGCAAUUUUCUUGUGCGAGUAUUUUAUAAAAACAUUGUUCAUUAUAUUGCAAUGUUUUAACGUUAAAAUACGAUAUGCUAUAAAUGUCACAAAAAAAGUUUUUUUUUUUAUUUUAAAUUCAAUGAAAGGAAAAUAAGAGCUAUUACGUUUGUAUGACGUCACUGCAGAGCUAACUGUAGCAGUUUCCUUUAUGAUUCCUUAGUUUAAGCUUACUUUUUUAUAUCUCUCCUUUGAUUGGAUAUCAAACAAGUCUUUUGAUUGGACAGCGAACCUUAAGGAAAUGUUGUUUUUCAUUCCGAUUACUCUCAAAACUCCGUUUACAGGAACACAAAAAACAUAUUUGCUAUAAGUUUUCUAUAAAUACAUUGCGGAACUCUAAAUCACACAAAAACGAUCUACUCUGCUCAGACAUUAAGGACUACUCCCAAGAGUUCAUUUAAGGAUGAUUUUUUUUGCAAUUUUGAUUAUGCUGGUUUCAAUUGAGCUAUUCAAAACGCAAGGACCACGCUCUGGAGUAAAAGAAGACAACAUAAAAGGUUUAAAAACAAGCACAAAACACUUUAAUGAAUGUAAUAAUUGUAGCGAUGAUAAGUUAAUGCUAUUUAUAAACACUGGGCUCAAAGAUUACCACAAUUUGAAUUUAAAAAACUGCAACAUUUCCAAAAGUAAUUUGAGUGAAUGGUGUAUUCAAAGAUUAAAGAUUAUGUUAAACAAAGCAGAUUCCGUUUGUAAGAUUUUUCCUCAGGAGUGUGAGUGCUUCAAAUUGUGUUACUAAAUGAAAAGAAUUAGUACGCGAUGUUUAAGUUUUUUGAAUAGUGAACGUUUACCUCCAAACUCUGCAUUUUUAUAUAUAACAACAAUCUUAGUUAGUAUUAUCUACGAUUAUUAUUAUUUGAUUAGUAUUUUUUCAAAGUAAUGUUUUGUGAUUAAACAAUAGUAUUUUUGUAAACUAACCUACAAGUAUAAUUAUAUCGUUUAAGUUUUUUUCUAUUUUUAUUUUUUUUUUCAAAUUUUUUUGUAACAUUCAAUCUAAUUGAUUUAUUUUACUUUGAAUAUAAAAAUCCUUAAUAACAGCGAUAUGUUUUGCUAUUACUCUUUCUUCA